AGUUCUGCAGUAUAAGAAUACAUUGGAUUGCAAAUCCGAAGAAGGAGGUUAAGUUUCUCCCGGGACUU
rnacentral:tRNA from 1 species